rnacentral:rRNA from 1 species
UACAGAGACUGCAAGCGUUAUUCGGAUUCACUGGGCGUAAAGGGUGCGCAGGCGGUUGGGUGUGUCAGAUGUGAAAUCCCGAGGCUUAACCUCGGAACUGCGUCUGAAACUACUCGACUAGAGUAUUGGAGAGGGUAACGGAAUUCACGGUGUAGCAGUGAAAUGCGUAGAUAUCGUGAGGAACACCAGAGGCGAAGGCGGUUACCUGGACAGUUACUGACGCUCAGGCACGAAAGCGUGGGGAGCAAACAGG